rnacentral:tRNA from 1 species
GGGUGUAACUCAAUGGCAGAGUUCCAGCCUUCCAAGCUGGUUACGGGGGUUCGAUUCCCCUCACCC